CUAUUUUUGGGUGCUGAAAGGAUUCUUCCAUCUCCAGGGCUGGUAUGUGCCUUUCAGAACUGGCUCAAGCUGAAAUGAAGAAGAGAUGAAAUCCAGGGGUUAUGUGUCCUUCUUUGAAGAAUGACACUUGAGUGAUUCAGACAGUCCUUCAUGGCUGAAGUUCUACUUACAACUUUGAAGCAGUUCCUAAGAAGCGAAUGUGGUUCUUCAAAAAACACUCUGCAGAUGUUUUGCUUGCUUGUAAUUGGACAUGGCUUCUCUUUCUGUGGUACAAGACUGCACUUGUUCACCUGGGAAAGCAGAAUUACUGAAGUUGGGGGACUUUGUUUUUUAAUACAUCAGGUUAGGAUGAAUUCUUCAGAUUUCCAGUGUGAGCUGGUUUAAAGGAAGAUAUGGGCAGCUCAGUACACUGCUCUAAUGUUUAUUGUUCAAUAAUAUUGAGAUGUAACUAAUAUUACAGAUUAGACAUUGUUUCCUUUU